CCUACGGGUGGCAGCAGUGAGGAAUAUUGGUCAAUGGGCGUAAGCCUGAACCAGCCAAGUCGCGUGAGGGAUGAAGGUUCUAUGGAUCAUAAACCUCUUUUAUAAGGGAAUAAAGUGUGGGACGUGUCCUAUUUUGUAUGUACCUUAUGAAUAAGGAUCGGCUAACUCCGUGCCAGCAGCCGCGGUAAUACGGAGGAUCCGAGCGUUAUCCGGAUUUAUUGGGUUUAAAGGGCGCGUAGGUGGCCUUUUAAGUCAGUGGUGAAAGUUUGUGGCUCAACCAUAGAAUUGCAGUUGAAACUGGCGGGCUUGAGUAUGUUUGAGGCAGGCGGAAUGCGUGGUGUAGCGGUGAAAUGCUUAGAUAUCACGAAGAACCCCGAUUGCGAAGGCAGCUUGCCAAGCCACGACUGACGCUGAUGCACGAAAGCGUGGGGAUCAAACAGGAUUAGAUACCCCUGUAGUC
rnacentral:rRNA from 1 species